UGGGGAAUUUUGCGCAAUGGGCGAAAGCCUGACGCAGCAACGCCGCGUGAGUGAUGAAGGCUUUCGGGUCGUAAAGCUCUGUCAAGGGGAAAGAAGUGUAUUGUGGCUAUAUCACGAUACUUGACGGUACCCCUAAAGGAAGCACCGGCUAACUCCGUGCCAGCAGCCGCGGUAAUACGGGGGGUGCAAGCGUUGUUCGGAAUUAUUGGGCGUAAAGCGCGUGUAGGCGGUCUGUUAAGUCUGAUGUGAAAGCCCUGGGCUCAACCCAGGAAGUGCAUUGGAUACUGGCAGACUUGAAUACGGGAGAGGGUAGUGGAAUUCCUGGUGUAGGAGUGAAAUCCGUAGAUAUCAGGAGGAACACCGGUGGCGAAGGCGGCUGCCUGGACCGAUAUUGACGCUGAGACGCGAAAGCGUGGGUAGCAAACA
rnacentral:rRNA from 1 species